ensembl:lncRNA
GUGGGGUUGGUUGGUAGAGAACUGACAGUUGGAGGAGUGGAGGUGGGCAGUGGGGUUGGUUGGUAGAGAACUGACAGUUGGAGGAGUGGAGGUGGGCAGUGGGGGUUGGUUGGUAGAGAACUGACAGUUGGAGGAGUGGAGGUGGGCAGUGGGGGUUGGUUGGUAGAGAACUGACAGUUGGAGGAGUGGGGGUGGGCAGUGGGGUUGGUUGGUAGAGAACUGACAGUUGGAGCAUCCUGGCUGGGGGAGCCCAAGGACCAAAGGACAACCGCUCGUCUCCCACAGACGGAGAGGAGGCAUAUGCUCGAGGAGUGAGCAUUGGGAAGAUGGAUGGACUUUUAUUUUUUAAGAAAUACAUAAACAGGGGGCACCACCUACCCACACCCUUACUAGAGCCUUGCAAUUCUUGGUGAAAGGUAGGGCAACAAUCUUAAAGGGGGGGUUCAG